CACCAGGUUGAUUCUGCCUGAUGUAUGCGCUUGUCUUGAAGAUUUAGCCAUGCAAGCUAGUGACCGUAAGUAAACAGCAGACAGCUCAGUAAUGACACCAAUUAUUUACUCGUAAUAUAUGGAUAACCAUGGAAAACUAUGGCUAAUACAAAAUACGAUUAAGUUUGUGACCUAUUAGCUAGAUGGUAAGGUAAGGGCUUACCAUGGCGAUGAUGGGUAACGGGGAAUUUUAGUUUGAUUCCGGAGAGGGAGCCUGAGAAAUAGCUCCCACGUCUAAGGAUGGCAGCAGGCGCGAAACUUACCCAAUUCCCUAUGGGGAGAGGUAGUGAAGAGACAUUUUUAUAUUAAUUGAAAGGGAAACUAAAGGGGAUCCAGUAAACUGGAGGGCAAGCCUGGUGCCAGCAGCCGCGGUAAUUCCAGCUCCAGUAGCGCAUAUAAUGAUUGUUGCUGUUAAAAGGUCCGUCGUAAACUAAGAUGGUACUAUGAGGAAAAUGUAUAUCUCAAAUGAAAAUAUAUAGCAUAGGACACAGUAGUGAUAGGAACAGAUGAUGGCAACAGUAUUUAAUAGUUAGAGGUGAAAAUCUAAGACCUAUUAAGGACUUUCAGAAGCGAAAGCGGUUGUCAAGUAUGUCUCCGUUUAUCAAGGACUCAAGCUAGAGUAUCGAAGAUGAUUAGAUACCGUCGUAGUUCUAGCUGUAAACGAUGCCAACUAGGUGAGGUAUUAAGCUACGCCUUAGGAGAAAUCAAAGUGUAUGGGCUCAGGGGAUAGUAUGCGCGCAAGGGUGAAACUUGAAGAAAUUGACGGAAGGAUACCANCAAGGAGUGGAUUGUGCGGCUUAAUUUGACUCAACGCGGGACAACUUACCAGGGCCGAAUGUUUUAGAGAUUGGUGAUUUGAGAGAAUAUCCAUGAUUAGACAGAGGGUGGUGCAUGGCCGUUUUCAACACGUGGGGUGACCUGUCAGGUUAAUUCCGAUAACGCGUGAGGCCCAUAUUUUUAUGAAGUGUAAAAAGACGGACAGUGUAAGCUGUAGGAAGUUGGGCGAUAACAGGUCAGUGAUGCCCCUAGAUGUUCUGGGCUGCACGCGCAAUACAAUAUAUGAUCUAAAAGAUUAGAGGUAACUUUUUUAGUAAUAUCAUGUAUACCCGGGAUAAGCGCUUGUAAAUGCGUUUUGAACUUGGAAUUCCUAGUAAUCGCAGGUCAUUAUGCUGCGAUGAAUGUGUCCCUGUUCUUUGUACACACCCGCCCGUCACUAUCUUAGAUGAAUUUAUAGGUGAAAUGGCUGGACUUUGGAAAGGCAGUUGAACCUGUGGAAUUAGAUAAGAUAUAAGUCGUAACAAG
rnacentral:rRNA from 1 species